UACGUAGGGUGCGAGCGUUAAUCGGAAUUACUGGGCGUAAAGCGUGCGCAGGCGGUUUGCUAAGACCGAUGUGAAAUCCCCGGGCUUAACCUGGGAACUGCAUUGGUGACUGGUAAGCUAGAGUGUGGCAGAGGGGGGUAGAAUUCCACGUGUAGCAGUGAAAUGCGUAGAGAUGUGGAGGAAUACCGAUGGCGAAGGCGGCCCCCUGGGCCAACACUGACGCUCAUGCACGAAAGCGUGGGGAGCAAACAGG
rnacentral:rRNA from 1 species